GGUCACCCUGGCGCAGAUGUUUGUCCGCCGGUGUCUCCGUACCUGGAAGAGAGCUGCUCUUCUCAAGACCACCUCCAGGUAUCAACGACAGGUAGACCACCCCCAGGUAUCAACGACAGGUAGACCACCCCCAGGUAUCAACGACAGGUAGACCACCCCCAGGUAUCAACGACAGGUAGACCACCCCCAGGUAUCAAUGACAGGUAGACCACCUCCAGGUAUCAACGACAGGUAGACUGCCCCCAGGUAUCAACGACAGGUAGACCGCCCCCAGGUAUCAACGACAGGUAGACCACCUCCAGGUAUCAACGACAGGUAGACCACCUCCAGGUAUCAACGACAGGUAGACCGCCUCCAGGUAUCAACGACAGGUAGACCACCCCCAGGUAUCAACGACAGGUAGACCACCCCCAGGUAUCAACGACAGGUAGACCACCCCCAGGUAUCAACGACAGGUAGACCACCCCCAGGUAUCAACGACAGGUAGACUGCCCCCGGACCCCGGCUCCCUGCUACCAUCUAGGGCAGAGGGUAUGGCUGUCCACUUGGGAUCUGGCCCCCCCCGGGCAGAGUCCAGUACACUGUCCCCCCAUUUUAUCGGCCCUUUCGCCAUCUCUAAAAUCCAUAGUAUACAAACCCUCCGUAUACAUCCCACUUUUCAUGUAUCAAGGAUUAAACUUCUGUCUCCCUUGCCCUGACCCUGCCUGCCCUGACCCUGCCUGCCCUA
ensembl:lncRNA